rnacentral:rRNA from 1 species
AUUGAACGCUGGCGGCAGGCCUAACACAUGCAAGUCGAACGGUAACAUUUCUAGCUUGCUAGAAGAUGACGAGUGGCGGACGGGUGAGUAAUGCUUGGGAACUUGCCUUCGGGAGGGGGAUAACAGUUGGAAACGACUGCUAAUACCGCAUAAUGUCUACGGACCAAAGCGGGCUUCGGCUCGCACCUGAAGAGAGGCCCAAGUGAGAUUAGCUAGUUGGUAAGGUAAAGGCUUACCAAGGCGACGAUCUCUAGCUGUUCUGAGAGGAAGAUCAGCCACACUGGGACUGAGACACGGCCCAGACUCCUACGGGAGGCAGCAGUGGGGAAUAUUGCACAAUGGGGGAAACCCUGAUGCAGCCAUGCCGCGUGUGUGAAGAAGGCCUUCGGGUUGUAAAGCACUUUCAGUUGUGAGGAAAGGUUGGUAGUUAAUACCUGCCAGCUGUGACGUUAACAACAGAAGAAGCACCGGCUAACUCCGUGCCAGCAGCCGCGGUAAUACGGAGGGUGCGAGCGUUAAUCGGAAUUACUGGGCGUAAAGCGCACGCAGGCGGUUUGUUAAGCUAGAUGUGAAAGCCCCGGGCUCAACCUGGGAUGGUCAUUUAGAACUGGCAGACUAAAGUCUUGGAGAGGGGAGUGGAAUUCCAGGUGUAGCGGUGAAAUGCGUAGAUAUCUGGAGGAACAUCAGUGGCGAAGGCGGCUCCCUGGCCAAAGACUGACGCUCAUGUGCGAAAGUGUGGGUAGCGAACAGGAUUAGAUACCCUGGUAGUCCACACCGUAAACGCUGUCUACUAGCUGUGUGUGAAUUUAAUUCGUGCGUAGCGAAGCUAACGCGCUAAGUAGACCGCCUGG